rnacentral:ncRNA from 1 species
AUAACAAUAUCGAGCUCUUUGAGUCUAGUAAUUGGAAUGAGUACAAUCUAAAUCCCUUAACGAGAAUCCAUUAGAGGGCAAGUCUAGUGCCGGCAAUCGCGGUAAUUCUAGCUCCAA